UGAAUGCGGGGGCGUCGUGUGGGUGAAGACGGAGCGGGCAGACGUUAGUGGGGAUACAUGUGCGGAAGGCUCACGCCGGGUGACGGAAUAGGAAGAGGUGAAAGCGCCGGGUGGAAACGGGGAAAUGCAUGUGGAGCGGUUCGAUUAGAUGCUGGGAGAGGGGGGGAGAAUUCCAGGUGGAGCGGUGAGAUGCGUAGAGAUAUGGAGGAAUACCGGUGGCGAAGGCGGCCCCCAGGACAAAGACUGACGCUCAGGUGCGAAAGCGUUGGGAGCAAACAGGAGUAGAUACCCCAGUAGUC
rnacentral:rRNA from 1 species